UACAGAGGUCUCGAGCGUUGUUCGGAUUUAUUGGGCGUAAAGGGUGCGUAGGCGGUGUGGCAAGUCAAGUGUGAAAUCUCGGAGCUCAACUUCGAAACUGCACUUGAUACUACUAUGCUAGAGGGUUGUAGAGGAGACCGGAAUUCACGGUGUAGCAGUGAAAUGCGUAGAUAUCGUGAGGAAGACCAGUUGCGAAAGCGGGUCUCUGGGCAAUUCCUGACGCUGAGGAGCGAAAGCGUGGGGAGCAAACAGG
rnacentral:rRNA from 1 species